UCAAUAUAUAUUACAUUUUAAUAAUUGUGAUUACAUUUCAUACUUCCACUGAAAUUUUUAUAUGAAAAGUCAUGUAAAUGUUGUAAUACUCCUUUUCCAAGUCGUGUAAAAGUGUCAUGAGUGUUUCUGUAGGUGAGAAAUUUUGCCGUAUUGGUGCAGAAUCAGUAUGUGAUUGACAGAAGACAAGGAACUGAGGUAAGGGAUACAAGUAUCUUCCCAUUAGAUAAAGAGUGCAGAAAUUUAGCUGAUACAAGAUGGGCACCAGAUCAGAGCACCUGGAAUCUGAGGGGCAAAUAUUAUUGGCACUUUAAGGCAUGUUGUUGCUCAUCACACCUCCUGAUAAAUAUGAAGACCCUAUGUGAUUCCUUCAGACUCUUCCCACAUCUUCUAGAGAUCUGCCAUGUGAAAAUUCCUGGAAACAGCCCAAACACAGUCCUGGACAGAAUCUUACUCUGUUACGCCCAGGCUGGAGUGCAGUGGCGUGAUCUCAGCUCACUGCAAACUGUUUCCUGAGUAGUUGGAAUUUCAGGCUCAUGCCACAAUGACUGGCUAAUUUUUGUAUUUUUAGCAGAGACCAAGUUUCCUCAUGUUGGCCAGCCUGGUCUCAAACUUCUGGCCUCAAGUGAUCUGCCCUCUUCAGCCUCCCAAAGUGGUGGGACUACAGGUGUGAGCCUAGCCAAUUUUUUGCUAUGUAUUUUAAAUGUCAUGUUAUUUUUUGCAUGUGGUUGCCUGCUAUAUUUAACAGUCAAUUUGUAAUCUUGCUGUGUCUCUCUUCUCAAUGGC
rnacentral:lncRNA from 1 species